CGGAGUGUGGCGCAGCUUGGUAGCGCACCACAAUGGGGUUGUGGGGGUCGGAGGUUCAAAUCCUCUCACUCCGACCA
rnacentral:tRNA from 2 species